CAGCAGCCGCGGGAAUACGAAGGGUGCAAGCGUUACUCGGAAUUACUGGGCGUAAAGCGUGCGUAGGCGGCUUCUUAAGUCGGAUGUGAAAUCCCUGAGCUUAACUUAGGAAUUGCAUUCGAUACUGGGAAGCUAGAGUAUGGGAGAGGAUGGUAGAAUUCCAGGUGUAGCGGUGAAAUGCGUAGAGAUCUGGAGGAAUACCGAUGGCGAAGGCAGCCAUCUGGCCUAAUACUGACGCUGAGGUACGAAAGCAUGGGGAGCAAACAGGAUUAGAUACCCCAGUAGUCCCUGUCUCUUAUAC
rnacentral:rRNA from 1 species